UUACCUUUUCCAGCCUUUGUGUUAAGAUCAAGUGUAGCAUCCAUUCUUAUCAGUUUAAUAUCUGAUACAUGGUAAACUCGGUCCACAUGAUAUUAAAUUAUUUUUGUAGGGGAGGGCCCACCACAGUAGCUUGCUACUAGGGCCCUCAAUCAUCACCCAUGCCUUGCCCUACUGCAAGACCCUAGUGACCCCUUG